rnacentral:rRNA from 1 species
GAUGAACGCUCGCUACAGGCUUAACACAUGCAAGUCGAGGGGCAGCAUGGUCUUAGCUUGCUAAGGCCGAUGGCGACCGGCGCACGGGUGAGUAACACGUAUCCAACCUGCCGUCUACUCUUGGACAGCCUUCUGAAAGGAAGAUUAAUACAAGAUGGCAUCAUGAGUCCGCAUGUUCACAUGAUUAAAGGUAUUCCGGUAGACGAUGGGGAUGCGUUCCAUUAGAUAGUAGGCGGGGUAACGGCCCACCUAGUCUUCGAUGGAUAGGGGUUCUGAGAGGAAGGUCCCCCACAUUGGAACUGAGGCACGGUCCAAACUCCUACGGGAGGCAGCAGUGAGGAAUAGUGGUCAAGGGGAGAGAGCCUGAACCAGCCAAGUAGCGUGAAGGACGACUGCCCUAUGGGUUGUAAACUUCUUUUAUAAAGGAAUAAAGUCGGGUAUGGAUACCCGUUUGCAUGUACUUUAUGAAUAAGGAUCGGCUAACUCCGUG